GGGCCCGUGGCCCAGCCAGGAUGAAGGCGCCGAGCCCUAACGAAAGGGCGCGCACGCCUCCGGAGCCGGAGAUCCUGGGUUCAAAUCCCAGCGGGCCCGCCA
rnacentral:tRNA from 1 species